AUGUUCAGACUAGCCAUGCACGUCUAAGUACAAACUAAAUGAUGGUGAAACUGCAAAUGGCUCAUUACAACGGUUAUGAUGUACCCGGGAGUUCCGAUGGAUAUUUCCAGUAACACUAGAACUUAUACAUGUCCCUGCGUUUAUUAGUUUCGCACAGUCCGUCGCUGAGUCAUGGUAAACAGUUGAUCGACUCGACGUCCCGGAACAGUUUCCGCCCCAUCAGCUUCGAUGGUUGGGUAUUGGCCUACCAUUGCAACAACGGGUAACGAGGAAUUAGGGUUUGAUUUCGGAGAGGGAGCCUGAGAAACGGCUACCACAUCUACGGAUGGCAGCAGGCGCGCAAAUUACCCAAUGCAGACACUGUGAGGUAGUGACGAGAAAUAAUAAAGCGGGACUUCUGUUUCGCUAUUAUAAUGAGGAAUAACCAAAGGUCAUUCCGAUUAGCAACUGAUGGGAAAGUCUGGUGCCAGCAGCCGCGGUAAUACCAGCGUCAGUAGCAU
rnacentral:rRNA from 1 species